UACGUAGGUCCCGAGCGUUGUCCGGAUUUAUUGGGCGUAAAGCGAGCGCAGGUGGUUUAAUAAGUCUGAUGUAAAAGGCAGUGGCUCAACCAUUGUGUGCAUUGGAAACUGUUAGACUUGAGUGCAGUAGAGGAGAGUGGAAUUCCAUGUGUAGCGGUGAAAUGCGUAGAUAUAUGGAGGAACACCGGUGGCGAAAGCGGCUCUCUGGACUGUCACUGACACUGAGGCUCGAAAGUGCGGGUAUCGAACA
rnacentral:rRNA from 1 species